rnacentral:lncRNA from 1 species
GAUCAUAGCAGUUAGAAUAUGAAUAAAAUAUCGAUUCCCAAUAUGCAUGGUAUGUCAAUUUAUCAAGAUUAAGAUGGACUCUCUUGUGUCAGGCACUAUCUUAGAAUUUGAAUCAACUUCCUUCUUGGUUCUCCUUCACCCUAGAAGGUAAUUUCAGAAGUCAUAAUCACAUCUUAAUUAUUCUAAACCCUUCCUGUUGUCUAAUUUUAUUUUAUUUUUUUGCUUUCAGGCACAAGAGGCAAGUACAUUCAAUUAAUUGAACUCUUCAAAUAGAUUGGAUUCAAAUGUCCAUAUUGCAUUUUGUGUAUUUUGCAACUGCACUUCUCUGCUGGUGUUACAGCAAGGUAGAAACAAAUAAAGCUAGGUGAUGCCAGCGCAAGAAGGACAAGAUAUUCAGGAGAUGAACCUUCUUCAUGUUGUUGUCGUUGUGGUUCUGAAAUCCGGUCUCAAAAAUUAUGGGCUGUUUGGAUGAAAGACUACCAUGGUCUUCCAGCAGAUAAAGGAAAUCAUGAGCUGAGUCAAGGAACUCUGGUAGAGAAGACCACAGUGGUAGGUCUGCCAUCAUGGACCUUUUAAAUAGACAAAGGUACCCCAUAAAAUGGGAGAACUCACAUCUAUCUGAAAUUUGCACAUCCUGUUACUGUCAAAUUUUUGCUUUUUGAAGAAGGAAACUCUCACAGU